rnacentral:rRNA from 1 species
GCUACCUGAUUCAGCGGCGGACGGGUGAGUAAUGCCUAGGAAUCUGCCCGAUAGUGGGGGACAACGUUUCGAAAGGAACGCUAAUACCGCAUACGUCCUACGGGAGAAAGUGGGGGAUCUUCGGACCUCACGCUAUCGGAUGAGCCUAGGUCGGAUUAGCUAGUUGGUGAGGUAAUGGCUCACCAAGGCGACGAUCCGUAACUGGUCUGAGAGGAUGAUCAGUCACACUGGAACUGAGACACGGUCCAGACUCCUACGGGAGGCAGCAGUGGGGAAUAUUGGACAAUGGGCGAAAGCCUGAUCCAGCCAUGCCGCGUGUGUGAAGAAGGUCUUCGGAUUGUAAAGCACUUUAAGUUGGGAGGAAGGGCAGUAAGCUAAUACCUUGCUGUUUUGACGUUACCAACAGAAUAAGCACCGGCUAACUUCGUGCCAGCAGCCGCGGUAAUACGAAGGGUGCAAGCGUUAAUCGGAAUUACUGGGCGUAAAGCGCGCGUAGGUGGUUCAGCAAGUUGGAUGUGAAAUCCCCGGGCUCAACCUGGGAACUGCAUCCAAAACUACUGAGCUAGAGUACAGUAGAGGGUGGUGGAAUUUCCUGUGUAG